GUGCUCACUUCAGCAGCACAUAUGCUGAAAUUGGAACAAUGCAGAAAAGAUUAGCAUGGCCCCUGCACAAGAGGACACAUAAAUUCAUGGGAGUCUUCCAUUGAAA
ensembl:snRNA U6 U6 spliceosomal RNA